GGGGAAAAGCCCUCGCGUGUGCCUGGAGAUUAGAGUUUGAUCCUGGCUCAGAUUGAACGCUGGCGGCAGGCCUAACACAUGCAAGUCGAGCGGUAACAGAAAGUAGCUUGCUACUUUGCUGACGAGCGGCGGACGGGUGAGUAAUGCUUGGGAACAUGCCUUGAGGUGGGGGACAACAGUUGGAAACGACUGCUAAUACCGCAUAAUGUCUACGGACCAAAGGGGGCUUCGGCUCUCGCCUUUAGAUUGGCCCAAGUGGGAUUAGCUAGUUGGUGAGGUAAUGGCUCACCAAGGCGACGAUCCCUAGCUGGUUUGAGAGGAUGAUCAGCCACACUGGGACUGAGACACGGCCCAGACUCCUACGGGAGGCAGCAGUGGGGAAUAUUGCACAAUGGGCGCAAGCCUGAUGCAGCCAUGCCGCGUGUGUGAAGAAGGCCUUCGGGUUGUAAAGCACUUUCAGUCAGGAGGAAAGGUUAGUAGUUAAUACCUGCUAGCUGUGACGUUACUGACAGAAGAAGCACCGGCUAACUCCGUGCCAGCAGCCGCGGUAA
rnacentral:rRNA from 1 species